CACGAAUAAUUGGAAUGUUUCAUGCAUGAGCUCACCCACGGGAUAAUACCCUCAUAUGAUCCCACCCUACAAGAAUUCACUGCGCACUCAAUGGACUAAAGAAAAAAACUCUUCUCCUGUUAACUUCUCCUCCUCCCUUUGCAAGCUCCCAACAUCACAUUUUUUACAAAAUGUGUAUUAUGUAUUGUGAGUGUGCAUAUGCAUUGGGCUCCAGAAACACAGAGAUCCCAAGAUGUGUGUUCCCAUCACGUAAUGGAUAGGAAUGUCAACAAAUUCUCACCCUCAGGCAGCGGUGAACAUGGACAAAGCGGGAGCAGAGUGGGCAAAGGAGAAAACCCCAGAGAAAGAGUGGAGGCAGACAGAGCAGCACCUCUGGAUACAGCAGCAGGGUGAAGAGGAUAGACUGCAUUUCAGUCUCAUUCAGUCUCUGAAUCCUCUGCUGGGACAACCAAAAAUGCUGACCACUGCAGCUGCAACAACUGGUCAAACUAGCCCAGGACCAUCAUCUAAUUUCCCAUGGACCCAAAUACUAAUAAACGGAACUGGCUUUAAUAGCACCACCAACCUGGGACAGGUUUCAAAAAGUUCUGUCUCCUAUUACCAAUUCUCCGAGUCAUCCAUCCCCUUUUUUGUUGUUUUGGACUCUUGACAAUUCGUGCCUUGGCUCCGAUCAGUUCAUGUCCUGUGUGGAUGUGGGCUGGAACCAGAAGACUUCCUAUCUGUGACAUUCAAGACCUGUGAUCUAAUUCCAGCUCAGGGAACUUUACCGGCAUCAUCUUGUGACCCUAGGUGAAAACUGGGCAGAAGCUCAGGAAAGAUGAAAGAGAAAUUCAAAACCCAGUGGUUUUUCCAAAGUAUUUUUAUGAGGUCAUUCAGAAUAAAUGUCAGCUGAAGAGGAAGUCA
rnacentral:lncRNA from 1 species